rnacentral:rRNA from 1 species
GCUUUACUAUAGCCUGGAAUUGGGUUCGGCUUCCCUUUGCGCAGAAUAGGUUGGGAGACCGAUGAAUCGCCUUGUGGGUGAUCCGAUCACGUGAAUACCACUCUAGGGGAGGCUAGAAUUCUAACUUGCUCCGUAAUCCGGGAGAAGAACAGUUUCAGGUGGGUAGUUUGGACUGGGGCCGCCUCCAAAAAGAACGGAGGCGCACAAAGGUUUCCCUCAGGCUGGAUGGAAAUCAGCAGAGAGUGUAAAGGCACAAGGGAGCUGACUUGGAACGAGACAACUCAAGCAGGUAGGAAACUAGGUCCCUUAGUGAUCCGACGGUGCUGCGUGGGAAAGGGCGUCGCUCACGAUAAAAAGUUA